rnacentral:rRNA from 1 species
GACGAACGCUGGCGGCGUGCUUAACACAUGCAAGUCGAACGGAAAGGCCCUGCUUGCAGGGUAUUCGAGUGGCGAACGGGUGAGUAACACGUGGGUGAUCUGCCCUGCACUUCGGGAUAAGCCUGGGAAACUGGGUCUAAUACCGGAUAGGAGCCAUUUUUAGUGUGAUGGUUGGAAAGUUUUUUCGGUGUAGGAUGAGCUCGCGGCCUAUCAGCUUGUUGGUGGGGUAAUGGCCUACCAAGGCGGCGACGGGUAGCCGGCCUGAGAGGGUGGACGGCCACAUUGGGACUGAGAUACGGCCCAGACUCCUACGGGAGGCAGAAGUGGGGAAUAUUGAACAAGGGGCGCAAGCCUGAUGCAGCGACGCCGCGGGGGGGAGGACGGCCUUCGGGUUGUAAAAUCCUUUCGCUAGGGACGAAGCUUUUUGUGACGGUACCUAGAUAAGAAGCACCGGCUAACUACGUG